UACGUAGGGGGCAAGCGUUAUCCGGAUUUACUGGGUGUAAAGGGAGCGUAGACGGCUCUGCAAGUCUGAAGUGAAAGCUCGGGGCUCAACCCCGGAACUGCUUUGGAAACUGUAAAGCUGGAGUGCAGGAGAGGUAAGCGGAAUUCCUAGUGUAGCGGUGAAAUGCGUAGAUAUUAGGAGGAACACCAGAGGCGAAGGCGGCUUACUGGACUGUAACUGACGUUGAGGCUCGAAGGCGUGGGGAGCAAAC
rnacentral:rRNA from 1 species